UACGUAGGGUGCGAGCGUUGUCCGGAAUUAUUGGGCGUAAAGAGCUCGUAGGCGGUGUGUCACGUCGGCCGUGAAAACCUGCAGCUUAACUGUGGGCGUGCGGUCGAUACGGGCAUCACUGGAGUUCGGCAGGGGAGACUGGAAUUCCUGGUGUAGCGGUGAAAUGCGCAGACAUCAGGAGGAACACCGGUGGCGAAGGCGGAUCUCUGGGCCAUUACUGACGCUGAGGAGCGAAAGCGUGGGGAGCGAACAGG
rnacentral:rRNA from 1 species